rnacentral:lncRNA from 13 species
UUAGAAUUUAAAAAAAUAUAAGGUGUAAAUUCUUUUGUCUUGGACUUUCAUAGGGGCAAUAUAUAAUACCUCUCUUUCCUAUUUAGGUUCUGAACUAACUGAAGAAUAGAUAAAGAAGUUAGACAGAUGGAGACGAUGUUUAACAGAUGCUUAUGUGUCACUUACUAGGUGCCAGCUAACAACUUGCCUAAGGUUACAAAUGGCUUUGUGGGAGGUAAUUAGGGUUAAAUGAGGUCAUAAGGGUAGAGCCCUUAUGAUGGGAUUAGGGCUCUUUGAAGGAAGACAUCAGAGCUCUCUCUCUCUCUUUCUCUCUGGCCUAUGAGGACACACUGAGCCAGGAAAAGAGACUGCACCAGAACCUCACCGUGCUUGCCCAAGGUCAUCGGUGGUGGAGCUGGGCUUUACACUCAGCUCUAGAAUCUCUUCUUGUUAUUCCAUUUCUUAAGUAAUUAGGAUCUGGGGCUCAGCUGUGAAUUUCUAUCACUGAAGCUGUCCAGUCCUUGGAUGCACACGGAGACAGGUGGGCUGAGUAAUGGGAAUGUUCUUGGAAAGCCGGAGGACCUCUGCAGUAUUGCCCAGCAGCUCAGUGACAGGUCCUGAUGACCAAGAGACUGAUUUCCCAUCAUUUCCUAAAGAAACAGGGACUGAGCAGGGCUUGAAGGGCAGAAUUAUUCACUGAGCUGGCCAAAGAUGCAUUCGCUGGUAGCAAGAUGGAGAAUGUCACAAAAUUAGUCAUCUUGGUGAGGGGGAGGUGUUCAUAUUUGACCAGAAAAAUAAAAGUACCUUAAACCAAAAACUAUUCUGAGCA